GUGUUGGAGCAGCUGCUCAGAUGUUUGCUUCGGAGCCCGAGGCGGCUGCAGGUCUGGACCCGUUCAGUUCCUCGGAUGUCCACUGGAGGCUGGUUUCUCAAGGAAGCAAUUUUCCAUUUACUCUUUUAAGGAUUUGCUCCCUUGCAACCAUUUUAAAACAUUUUUAGCUUUUUUUUUUUUUAAUAACAAUUAUGAUUUAAUUGAUGUAUUGG
rnacentral:lncRNA from 1 species